CCCUUAGAUGUCCUGGGCCGCACGCGUGCUACACUGACGCAUACAGCGAGCACUUUCCAGUUCCGAGAGGCUACUGGUAAUCAUCAAUAUGCGUCGUGAUGGGGAUAGAUCUUUGGAAUUCUGGAUCUUGAACGAGGAAUGCCUAGUAAUCGCAGGUCAUUAGCCUGCGAUGAUUAAGUCCCUGCCCUUUGUACACACCGCCCGUCGCUACUACCGAUUUCGAGUGGUCAGGUGAAUCUUUCGGACUGUGGGCGCCCUUGAGGUGUUCGCGGAAAGUCAGGUAAAUCUUAUCACUUAGAGGAAGUAAAGGUCGUAACA
rnacentral:rRNA from 1 species